UACGUAGGGUGCGAGCGUUAAUCGGAAUUACUGGGCGUAAAGCGUGCGCAGGCGGUUCUAUAAGACAGAUGUGAAAUCCCCGGGCUCAACCUGGGAACUGCAUUUGUGACUGUAGAGCUGGAGUACGGUAGAGGGGGAUGGAAUUCCGCGUGUAGCAGUGAAAUGCGUAGAUAUGCGGAGGAACACCGAUGGCGAAGGCAAUCCCCUGGACCUGUACUGACGCUCAUGCACGAAAGCGUGGGGAGCAAACAGG
rnacentral:rRNA from 1 species